UUUCCGUAGGUGAACCUGCGGAAGGAUCAUUAUUGAAUGAACUUGGCAUGAUUGUAGCUGGUCCUUUCGAGGGCAUGUGCACAUCUGUCAUCUUUAUCUUUCCACCUGUGCACCAAUUGUAGGUCUAAAAAAUUUUCCCCGAGACACUCGGGGGAGCAUGGGGCGUUGCUGUGUGUUACCACCAGCUUGCCCUGCAUUUUCUAGAUCUAUGUUUUCACAUACACCAUAAAAUGUAAUAGAAUGUUAUUAUUGGGCUUUUAUUGCCUAUAAACUAUAUACAACUUUCAGCAACGGAUCUCUUGGCUCUC
rnacentral:misc_RNA from 1 species